rnacentral:rRNA from 1 species
CCUACGGGAGGCAGCAGUGGGGAAUUUUGGACAAUGGGCGCAAGCCUGAUCCAGCCAUUCCGCGUGAGUGAAGAAGGCCUUCGGGUUGUAAAGCUCUUUCGCGAGGAAGAAAACUUACUUCUAAUAAAGAGUGAGGCUGACGUACGUGAUAGA